ACCUAAUAAUAAAAGGACAGUCGGUAAUUUUCAAUUGAUUAGACUUGCUCAGUUCUUAAAACAGUCGGGAGAUGUUGCCACGUGUCUACUUUGUGCCAUAAAGAAUCAAAGAUGUCUGUCACGUAUGACUUCAGUCCAAGAUCCGUAUAGUCCUUGGGCCGACGCGACUAGGAUAGAAAUUUUCUUUCAUUAUGAGAAAUGUUUGAGUGGAUUUUACGAUCGCCUGUGUGCGCGUCGUCGACGAAAAAUGCGGAAUUUUCAUGGUCACCGCAUCUAGUAACGCGUGCGCAUUUAGAAUAUUCACGUAUCUCAAAGAAUUAUAGCCAUCGCCUAAUAGAUUCGGCCUAAUCUCAACAGUAUCUCGUUGAUUUCUCCAGUGAAGUUCUAUUGUUUUCGUAUAUUAAGAAGUUGCACGAUAUUUUACAUCGAAAAUGUCUGAUGACACGAGUGUACGCGUCGCUGUACGAAUAAGGCCUCAGGUAGCACGUGAAGUAAUUGAUAUGUGUAGAAUAUGUACACAAGUACCUCCAGGAGAACCCCAGGUCUUUCUUGGACCAGACAAGGCCUUUACAUAUGAUUAUGUUUUUGAUACUUGUGUUGGGCAAUGCACAAUUUAUGAAACGUGUGUUGCACGCCUAGUAGAAGGUGCAUUAGAUGGAUAUAAUGCAACUGUACUUGCUUAUGGCCAGACUGGAUCUGGUAAAACUUACACCAUGGGCACUGGAUUUGAUGUAGAAGUUGAUGAAGAUGUGGUUGGAAUUAUCCCCAGAGCUAUUAGACAUUUAUUUAAUGGAAUUGCAGAGAAACAGCAACGUGCCAGAGAGUCUGCACAAAUGCCUCCAGAAUUUAAGGUUACUGCUCAGUUUUUGGAAUUGUACAAUGAGGAUUUGAAAGAUUUACUAGAACCUGGUGGACCUAGAGGUGGUGCUCGUAUUCAUGAAGAUACCUCUGGUAACAUUCAUUUAGCUGGAGUGGAACCACGAAUUGUAACUAGUCCAGAACAGGCACUAGAAUAUUUGCGAUUGGGAGCACUGUCACGUACAACUGGAUCUACUCAAAUGAAUACUCAAUCAUCAAGAUCACACGCAAUAUUCACGUUACAUAUAAAGCAACAGAGAUACAUAAAAGUUGAAGAUCCAGAUGCUGAUGUUGAUACAAGUGGCACAGAGCCUGCAAGUGAAUUUGAAACUUUAACUGCAAAAUUUCAUUUUGUAGAUUUAGCUGGUUCAGAAAGGCUAAAGAGAACUGGUGCAACUGGAGAUAGAGCAAAGGAGGGAAUAUCUAUAAAUUGUGGAUUGUUGGCUUUGGGUAAUGUAAUUUCUGCACUUGGAGACAAAGCAAAAAAAGCUUUACAUGUACCAUAUAGGGAUUCAAAAUUAACUAGAUUGCUUCAAGAUUCACUAGGAGGAAACAGUCAAACUGUUAUGAUAGCUUGUGUCUCACCAAGUGAUAGAGAUUUUAUGGAAACUCUGAGUACCCUAAAAUAUGCGAAUAGAGCUAGGAAUAUCAAAAACAAAGUUACAGUUAAUCAAGAUAAGAGCUCAAGAACAAUUGCUUCUCUUCGAAGAGAAAUACAGCAACUUCAGUUAGAGUUGAUGGAAUAUAGACAAGGCAAAAGAGUUGUUGGUGAAGAUGGUGUAAAUGAUGCUUGGCAUGAAAAUCAAAUGUUAAAUAGUGAGCUACAAAGUCUUCGUACAAGAGUGAAAGCUCUUUCAGAAACAGUUGAAGCACUGACUGCAAAGAAUGUUCUUCUGCUGGCAGAGAAAGCUGCUGGUCAGUGGGUAUCAACAGGUGGAAAUAGUGAAGUAACAAGUUUAGUUCAAGGAUAUGUUCAAGAGAUAGAAGAAUUGAGAGCUCGGCUUUUAGAAGCAGAAGCUAUGUAUCAACAGUUAAAAAAACGACAGAUACAGGUAAAUGCAGCAAAUCCUUAUGGUGAUUCUGGAUACAUAUGUCCUAGCGAUUCUGUGUCAAUAUUAAAUGAUGCUAAGAAAGAGGUACAAAAAGAAAUUGAAGCGUUAACGGCAUUGAGAGAACAACAUGCACAUGCUACUAGUACUGCGAAUAAAACAGGAGAAGAAGAAGGCGAUGAUACAGAAAUUGGUCAGGACUCUGUAAGUGAAGACGAUUCGGAUGAUGAUUCUGAUAGAAAAGAAGAGGACGAAGAAGAAGAAGCUAUGGGUCGUGAAUUAGAAGCGUUAACAUCCGAUAUUGACGUGAAGCAGCGAUUAAUACAAGAACUUGAACUUUCACAACGGCGCUUACAAACAAUGAAACAACAUUAUGAAGAUAAGCUUGCUCAGUUACAAGCUCGUAUUAAGGAUACUCAGGAAGAAAGAGACAAGGUGUUACACUCCUUGCAACAGCAACCAACUCCUCCAACUGAGAAAGUAAAAAAAUUACGCGACGAGUACGAAAAGAAACUUUCUGCAAUGCAAAAGGAAAUGCAACUUUUAAAAUCUGCAAAAAAAGAGCAUGCAAGGUUGCUUAAGAACCAAUCUCAAAAUGAAAACCGAUUAAGAGGAUUACGAAAUGAACUAGCAGAGAUGAAAAGAGCAAAAGUGAAACUUCUAAAUAAAAUGCGCGAGGAAGCGCAAAGACAUAAAGAAAAUGAACUGAGACGAAAUAGAGAAAUAGCACAGUUGCGAAAAGAAAGUAGGAAAAACGCAAAUAUGAUUCGAACGCUUGAAGCGGAUAAAAGAAUGAAGGAAGUGGUACUUAGACGCAAACAAGAAGAAGUAUCGGCAUUACGAAAACGGGACAGAGGUCUCAGUCAGAAAGUUGCUGGCAGAGCACCACCUAAACCAAUCAAUCCAAAAGCAUUGAAGCAAAGGUGGCAAACGUUUGAAAGAACUAUUGCCAAGCAAGCAUUGGCUAAACAGGCAGCUGCAGAAACGGAGAGAGAAAUGGAAAGACUUCUUCAAGAACGGGAAGAGUUAGGUAGGGAACUAGAAAAGCUUCAGAAACACAGAAAUGCUAUAGCAAGUUCAAGAGGAGAUACAGCUGAUAUCGACGAAGAAAUUGAUAAUGUCAGAAGUAAAAUCAGUUACCUGCAGGAUAGUAUUGCGGAAUGUCAACGUGAUAUGGUAGAAAUGGGUGACGGAGAAGCUGAAGGUGAACCUGGUGUUGAAGCUCUUAUAUCAACAAUUCAAUCAGUAGAUGAAGCUCAAUAUUUAUUACAAAGGAUGCUAGCAUUUACCGUGGAACAAAGCUGCGUAGCCGCUCAAAAACAACUUGAAGUUCGUGAUAUGGAAUCGCGAUUAAAUCAAGUUGCACAAGAAAGUGAUGUGCAACAUCAAUUAUUAGAGCACGUAUUACGGGACAGAGAUCUUUUGUCUCUUACAAAUAAUCAUCAUAAUACAUUGAAUUAUAGUCCUCCAAGUUCAAGGAGUUCAUCGCCGGAAAAUGAAAAUUAUAAUCAAGUUAUAAUUGGGGAAGAAAAACAACGUAAUAAUAAAGUGAGAAGGAGAACUACGCAACCCCAAGAACUUCUUUAUGGAGUUCAAGCCAGUCAGGAUAAUUUAAAGGCAGAGGAUCAAAGUCAAAGUCAUAAUCAUCCACUCACUAGAGUACCUAGUGCUCCAGGUAGUUUAAAAGGUUUAGUAUUAACAAGAAGUCAGCAUAGCGGUAUAGCUGGUGGAUCUCCGACUCUAAGUCGACGCGAUAGUACAUCUCCAAGGCCAUUGCGGCGACCGCUACAUCCAGGUGGAGGCUCCAUGGAACAGGUAGCACAUACAGAUGUGUCAUCACCACCUGGAUCACCAACCACGUAUCGACGAUUCAACAGUCGAGAAGAAAACGUUUUCUCUAGACUAACUGCAAGCAGACAACCAGCAUCAACAGACCCGCAGCCUAUGAAAGGAAUUAUUUCUCAAUAUCAAGGCAAGAUACAACCACGAGCGGUUUUACAUUGUUCUCACGUAGCUGAAGGACAUAGUAAAGCUGUUUUGACAAUGUGUGCAACUUCAGAUUUACUAUUUAGUGGUUCGAAAGAUCGAACCGUGAAAGUAUGGGAUUUAGGAACAGGAAUUGAAAAUCUCACAUUGACUGGUCAUCCAAAUAACGUCGUAGCAGUGAAAUAUUCUCCACUGCAUGAUUUAUUAUUCAGCGUUUCUUCAGCCUACGUGAAAGUUUGGGAUUUGAGGGCAGCCAACAGUUGUAUAAAAACUUUAUAUUCAUCCGGUCAAGUACAGAGUGGACCGAUCACGUUGUCGACUCCAUCUAGGAUGCUACAACUUCCCGUUGGUGAAACAACCAUAAAUGAUUUAGUACUAAGCAUGGAUGAACAAGAAUUAUAUACUGCAUCCAGCGAUAAAGUUAGAAUAUGGGAUCUACGUAAAUUAACGUGUACUGGACGAUUAAGUACACCGCACACGGCGGCAGUAAUGUGUCUGGCCGUCGCAGAGGAUGGUAAAGUAAUAACAGGCAGUAAAGAUCAUUUGGUAUCCCUCGUUGAACCGAAUACAUCCGGUCAAUCGGUCAGCCUGGCACCACCGCAUUAUGACGGUGUACAGUGUUUAGCAACAUGUGACACUACACUGUUUUCUGGCUCAAGGGACAUGUGUAUUAAACGGUGGGAUCUAAGUAGAAUGGAAUUAGUCCAGUCUCUGAAUAAUGCACACAAAGAUUGGAUUUUGGGUUUGUGUAUGAUAAACAAUGGUUCUGUAAUGAUAUCAGGUUGUCGAGGUGGAAUUUUGAAGGCGUGGACUGUACCAAAGGAUCAAGGAGAAUGUAGCCCAAUAGGGGAAGUGAGAGCACAUGGUUCUGCUAUUAAUGCUGUAAUAACUAAUCAACAACACAUUUUUACUGCAAGCAACUCUGGGGAGAUCAAGCUGUGGCGUAUUCCCGAUUCCUCAUUAUCCAUGUCUAUUUCCACAGUUUCUCUUUAACUUAUUUUUCUACUUUGCUGCAUAUUAUUUUUUUGCAUUUAUAGAUUGUUGAUGUGGUAAUGCGCAUGCUUGUCUGAACACACUUUGGCUGUUACUCAAGAGUGUUUGGACAUGUCUUAUAAAAAUCUGACAGUAAUGUAAUUAAACAAAAUUCUAACUCUUUAACAAGUAAUUGUUAAUAAUUAACAGUGUAUUUAUGUAUUUAUCUGUUUAGCAUAUUGUCAAAAUUAUUUUUCACUAACAUAGAAAACAUUCAUUUUUUUAUGCUUCAAAUACUAUACAAUGUCAUUAAAGUUAUUCGGAUUUAAUGAAAAUCGGAAAUGCGCUUUAAAUUACUUAUAUCACAAGUUAGACUGAUACAUUUCCUGUUUAAAACGACAUGAAAAAUAUUUGAUGAUAUUUUUGAAGUUUUGAUGUGACGGAACGGUGAAGCUGUGGAACUACUAUAAGAGAGAUGCAAGAACUUUCCAGAG